GCGUUUGUAGCUCAGUAGAUAAAGUAUUUGUUUCCAAGCAAGAAGUCAAGGGUUCGACCCUGUGCGCGCC
rnacentral:tRNA from 1 species